rnacentral:rRNA from 1 species
UACGUAGGGGGCUAGCGUUGUCCGGAAUCAUUGGGCGUAAAGCGCGUGUAGGCGGUUGUUCAAGUCAGGUGUGAAAGCCUUGAGCUCAACUCAAGAAAUGCACUUGAUACUGGAUGACUAGAGGACCGGAGAGGAUAGUGGAAUUCCCAGUGUAGUGGUGAAAUACGUAGAGAUUGGGAAGAACACCAGUGGCGAAGGCGGCUAUCUGGACGGUUUCUGACGCUAAGACGCGAAAGCGUGGGGAGCAAACAGG